rnacentral:rRNA from 1 species
CCUACGGGGGGCUGCAGUGGGGAAUCUUGCACAAUGCGCGAAAGCGUGAUGCAGCAACGCCGCGUGGGGGAAGAAGGCCUUCGGGUUGUAAACCCCUUUCAGUUGGGACGAAGCUUCGCCGGUGAAUAGCCGGCUGGAGUGACGGUACCUUCACAAGAAGCCCCGGCUAACUACGUGCCAGCAGCCGCGGUAAUACGUAGGGGGCUAGCGUUGUCCGGAAUCAUUGGGCGUAAAGCGCGUGUAGGCGGUUCGGUAAGUCCGCUGUGAAAGUCGGG